rnacentral:rRNA from 1 species
GUCCUUUUGAUUUUUAUAUAAGGUCUGACCUGCCCUAUGAAUAUUUAAAUGGCCGCGGUAUACUAACCGUGCAAAGGUAGCAUAGUCAUUUGUCUCUUAAUUGGAGGCUUGAAUGAAGGGUUGGACGAGAUAUAAGCUUUCUUUGUUAUAUUUUAUUGAAUUUGACUUUUGAGUUAAAAGGCUUAAAUUUUUUUAUAGGACGAGAAGACCCUAUAGAAUUUUAUAUAUUUGUAUAAUCGAUUUAUUUAUUUAUUAUUUAAUUUUUUGUUUAAAUAUAUUUUGUUGGGGCGAUGGGAAGAUUUUAAUAACUCUUUUUUUGUUCUAAUCAUUGAUUUAUGUUUUAUUCUGAUCCUUUUUUUAGAGAUUAUAAGAUUAAAUUACCUUAGGGAUAACAGCGUAAUUCUUUUGGAGAGUUCUUAUCGAUAAAAGAGUUUGCGA